rnacentral:lncRNA from 1 species
AUGAAAGAGGACAAAGUAUGGACCAUAGUGUCUCACGAUUUCCAGAUUAAGACGACAGUGGUGGGCUGCAACCCAAGAAAAUACUCAGCUCGUUUCCAGCACCUCCAAAUGAGCAGUAUGCCGCCGUUUGCAAGAUGUCCAGGCUGCUGAGCAUCCCAGGAAUUGUGAUGUCCCUGGAGAGAAAAGAGAGUAUGAAGUUUGCAAAGAAUGAACACCUGCUUUGAGAAAGGAGAAAAAGGAAAGAGUGUAGAUUUUCAUUAAAUUCUAUUGAUCAGUACCAUCCUUGACAUUCUGUCUCAUUUAACUUUGAAAGUUAUGCAAGUGGACUU